GGGGUUGUGGCUCAGUGGUAGAGCACUCGCCUAAUAUGUGUGAGACACUGGGUUUGAUCCUCAGCAACACAU
rfam:Ictidomys tridecemlineatus contig000138, whole genome shotgun sequence.